rnacentral:rRNA from 1 species
AUUGAACGCUGGCGGAAUGCCUUACACAUGCAAGUCGAACGAUGAAGUCUAGCUUGCUAGACGAAUUAGUGGCGAACGGGUGAGUAAUAUAUCGGAACGUAUCCAUUAAUGGGGGAUAACUAGUCGAAAGAUUGGCUAAUACCGCAUACGUCCUACGGGAGAAAGCUAGGGACCUUCGGGCCUGGCGUUAAUGGAGCGGUCGAUAUCUGAUUAGCUAGUUGGUGAGGUAAAGGCUCACCAAGGCGACGAUCAGUAGCUGGUCUGAGAGGACGACCAGCCACACUGGAACUGAGACACGGUCCAGACUCCUACGGGAGGCAGCAGUGGGGAAUUUUGGACAAUGGGCGAAAGCCUGAUCCAGCCAUUCCGCGUGAGUGAAGAAGGCCUUCGGGUUGUAAAGCUCUUUCGCAAGGGAAGAAAACUUACCCUCUAACAUAGGGUGAGGAUGACGGUACCUUGAUAAGAAGCACCGGCUAACUACGUGCCAGCCGCCGCAGUAA